rnacentral:rRNA from 1 species
AUUGAACGCUGGCGGCAGGCCUAACACAUGCAAGUCGAGCGAGCGGCGGACGGGUGAGUAAUGUAUGGGGAUCUGCGCGAUAGAGGGGGAUAACUACUGGACACGGUCGCUAAUCCCGCAUCCUCACGGAUGAACCCAUAUGGGAUUAGAUUGUAGGUGAGGUAACGGCUCACCUAGGCGACGAUCCCUAGCUGGUCUGAGAGGAUGAUCAGCCACACUGGAACUGAGACACGGCCCAGACUCCUACGGGAGGCAGCAGUGGGGAAUAUUGCACAAUGGGCGCAAGCCUGAUGCAGCCAUGCCGCGUGUAUGAAGAAGGCCUUCGGGUUGUAAAGCACUUUCAGUGGGGAGGCGUUACCGACAGAAGAAGCACCGGCUAACUCCGUGCCAGCAGCCGCGGUAAUUC